GGUUAAGCGACUAAGCGUACACGGUGGAUGCCCUGGCAGUCAGAGGCGAUGAAGGACGUGCUAAUCUGCGAUAAGCGUCGGUGAGGUGAUAUGAACCGUUAUAACCGGCGAUUUCCGAAUGGGGAAACCCAGUGUGAUUUGUCACACUAUCAUUAACUGAAUCCAUAGGUUAAUGAGGCGAACCGGGGGAACUGAAACAUCUAAGUACCCCGAGGAAAAGAAAUCAACCGAGAUUCCCCCAGUAGCGGCGAGCGAACGGGGAGGAGCCCAGAGCCUGAAUCAGUGUGUGUGUUAGUGGAAGCGUCUGGAAAGGCGCGCGAUACAGGGUGACAGCCCCGUACACAAAAAUGCACAUGCUGUGAGCUCGAUGAGUAGGGCGGGACACGUGGUAUCCUGUCUGAAUAUGGGGGGACCAUCCUCCAAGGCUAAAUACUCCUGACUGACCGAUAGUGAACCAGUACCGUGAGGGAAAGGCGAAAAGAACCCCGGCGAGGGGAGUGAAAAAGAACCUGAAACCGUGUACGUACAAGCAGUGGGAGCACGCUUCGGCGUGUGACUGCGUACCUUUUGUAUAAUGGGUCAGCGACUUAUAUUCUGUAGCAAGGUUAACCGAAUAGGGGAGCCGAAGGGAAACCGAGUCUUAACUGGGCGUUAAGUUGCAGGGUAUAGACCCGAAACCCGGUGAUCUAGCCAUGGGCAGGUUGAAGGUUGGGUAACACUAACUGGAGGACCGAACCGACUAAUGUUGAAAAAUUAGCGGAUGACUUGUGGCUGGGGGUGAAAGGCCAAUCAAACCGGGAGAUAGCUGGUUCUCCCCGAAAGCUAUUUAGGUAGCGCCUCGUGAAUUCAUCUCCGGGGGUAGAGCACUGUUUCGGCAAGGGGGUCAUCCCGACUUACCAACCCGAUGCAAACUGCGAAUACCGGAGAAUGUUAUCACGGGAGACACACGGCGGGUGCUAACGUCCGUCGUGAAGAGGGAAACAACCCAGACCGCCAGCUAAGGUCCCAAAGUCAUGGUUAAGUGGGAAACGAUGUGGGAAGGCCCAGACAGCCAGGAUGUUGGCUUAGAAGCAGCCAUCAUUUAAAGAAAGCGUAAUAGCUCACUGGUCGAGUCGGCCUGCGCGGAAGAUGUAACGGGGCUAAACCAUGCACCGAAGCUGCGGCAGCGACACUAUGUGUUGUUGGGUAGGGGAGCGUUCUGUAAGCCUGUGAAGGUGGCCUGUGAGGGUUGCUGGAGGUAUCAGAAGUGCGAAUGCUGACAUAAGUAACGAUAAAGCGGGUGAAAAGCCCGCUCGCCGGAAGACCAAGGGUUCCUGUCCAACGUUAAUCGGGGCAGGGUGAGUCGACCCCUAAGGCGAGGCCGAAAGGCGUAGUCGAUGGGAAACAGGUUAAUAUUCCUGUACUUGGUGUUACUGCGAAGGGGGGACGGAGAAGGCUAUGUUGGCCGGGCGACGGUUGUCCCGGUUUAAGCGUGUAGGCUGGUUUUCCAGGCAAAUCCGGAAAACUAAGGCUGAGGCGUGAUGACGAGGCACUACGGUGCUGAAGCAACAAAUGCCCUGCUUCCAGGAAAAGCCUCUAAGCAUCAGGUAACAUCAAAUCGUACCCCAAACCGACACAGGUGGUCAGGUAGAGAAUACCAAGGCGCUUGAGAGAACUCGGGUGAAGGAACUAGGCAAAAUGGUGCCGUAACUUCGGGAGAAGGCACGCUGAUAUGUAGGUGAAGCGACUUGCUCGUGGAGCUGAAAUCAGUCGAAGAUACCAGCUGGCUGCAACUGUUUAUUAAAAACACAGCACUGUGCAAACACGAAAGUGGACGUAUACGGUGUGACGCCUGCCCGGUGCCGGAAGGUUAAUUGAUGGGGUUAGCGGUAACGCGAAGCUCUUGAUCGAAGCCCCGGUAAACGGCGGCCGUAACUAUAACGGUCCUAAGGUAGCGAAAUUCCUUGUCGGGUAAGUUCCGACCUGCACGAAUGGCGUAAUGAUGGCCAGGCUGUCUCCACCCGAGACUCAGUGAAAUUGAACUCGCUGUGAAGAUGCAGUGUACCCGCGGCAAGACGGAAAGACCCCGUGAACCUUUACUAUAGCUUGACACUGAACAUUGAGCCUUGAUGUGUAGGAUAGGUGGGAGGCUUUGAAGUGUGGACGCCAGUCUGCAUGGAGCCGACCUUGAAAUACCACCCUUUAAUGUUUGAUGUUCUAACGUUGACCCGUGAUCCGGGUUGCGGACAGUGUCUGGUGGGUAGUUUGACUGGGGCGGUCUCCUCCUAAAGAGUAACGGAGGAGCACGAAGGUUGGCUAAUCCUGGUCGGACAUCAGGAGGUUAGUGCAAUGGCAUAAGCCAGCUUGACUGCGAGCGUGACGGCGCGAGCAGGUGCGAAAGCAGGUCAUAGUGAUCCGGUGGUUCUGAAUGGAAGGGCCAUCGCUCAACGGAUAAAAGGUACUCCGGGGAUAACAGGCUGAUACCGCCCAAGAGUUCAUAUCGACGGCGGUGUUUGGCACCUCGAUGUCGGCUCAUCACAUCCUGGGGCUGAAGUAGGUCCCAAGGGUAUGGCUGUUCGCCAUUUAAAGUGGUACGCGAGCUGGGUUUAGAACGUCGUGAGACAGUUCGGUCCCUAUCUGCCGUGGGCGCUGGAGAACUGAGGGGGGCUGCUCCUAGUACGAGAGGACCGGAGUGGACGCAUCACUGGUGUUCGGGUUGUCAUGCCAAUGGCACUGCCCGGUAGCUAAAUGCGGAAGAGAUAAGUGCUGAAAGCAUCUAAGCACGAAACUUGCCCCGAGAUGAGUUCUCCCUGACUCCCUGAGAGUCCUGAAGGAACGUUGAAGACGACGACGUUGAUAGGCCGGGUGUGUAAGCGCAGCGAUGCGUUGAGCUAACCGGUACUAAUGAACCGUGAGGCUUAACCUU
rnacentral:rRNA from 1 species